rnacentral:rRNA from 1 species
GAUGAACGCUAGCGGCAGGCCUAAUACAUGCAAGUCGAACGGUGUCUUCGGACAUAGUGGCGCACGGGUGCGUAACACGUAUGCAACCUACCUUACAUUGGGGGAUAGCCUUUCGAAAGGGAGAUUAAUACCGCAUAAGACAGUAGCUGGGCAUCCAGCAGCUGUUAAAGAUUUAUCGAUGUAAGCUGGGCAUGCGUCCAAUUAGCUAGUUGGUGAGGUAACGGCUCACCAAGGCAAUGAUUGGUAGGGGAACUGAGAGGUCAAUCCCCCACACUGGCACUGAGAGACGGGCCAGACUCCUACGGGAGGCAGCAGUAGGGAAUAUUGGGCAAUGGACGCAAGUCUGACCCAGCCAUGCCGCGUGCAGGAUGAAGGCGUUAUGCGUUGUAAACUGCUCUUAUACAGGAAGAAACGACUCUUGCGAGAGGCAUUGACGGUACUGUAUGAAUAAGCACCGGCUAACUCCGUGCCAGCCGCCGCGGUAAAAC